UACGGGGGGGGCAAGCGUUGUUCGGAAUUACUGGGCGUAAAGGGCUCGUAGGCGGCCAACUAAGUCCGACGUGAAAUCCCCAGGCUUAACCUGGGAACUGCGUCGGAUACUGGAUGGCUUGAAUUCGGGAGAGGGAUGCAGAAUUCCAGGUGUAGCGGUGAAAUGCGUAGAUAUCGAGAGGAACACCUGCGGCGAAGGCGGGUUGCUGGGCUGACACUGACGCUGACAGCGCGAAAGCUAGGGGAGCGAACGGG
rnacentral:rRNA from 1 species